rnacentral:lncRNA from 1 species
CAGCUAAAACAUUCCACCAAAAAUCUUAUUGUCCUUUUCAUUUUUAGCUUUCAAAUUAGUUUCAACGUUCAAAUACACCAAAAAUACAAAACAAAAAUGCAUAUAGAAGAUAGAAAACUACAAAUUAGCCACUGUUUCAUUGGUUUUAAAGUAACUGUUGGGGUUUUCUAUUUGUUGCAUAUUGGUUUGGAACAAUCCCUGCUGGUUCCUAGCUGUUUGUGGUCUCUUGGGUUAUCUGUUGGUUUCUUGUCAAAAAUUCGGGGUCAAUUCCUGCACCUGGCCGCUACUUUGGUUUUUUUCCUUGUUUCGAUCAAGUUUCAAGCAUCUACUUGGUCUUCUUGUUGUCAUGGCUGAUCUGUCAUUAAUUUCUGCAAUAGUUGUGCAAGCAGCUAGACCUACUGUAGAUCUUCUUCUUUUCUUGUUGUGUUUCAACUUUCAGGUACAUACUCUAAAACUUGAUAUAUGAAAAUCUCAGGUGCACAUAAACGAGUUGGCAGCUUGUUUUUCUGCUGAAGUUUCCAAUAAAUUCAUUACUUUCAUUAUAGUUUGUUGUAGUAAUUGAAAUAUUGAAUUGUUAAACCUGGACUGUAUGACUCCAAAUGAUUCCUGUUAUUUGAACAUAGAUUUAAGUUUUAUGAACUGUUAAUUUGGUUCAGCUAAUUCCUGUUUAAAAUAGGUUCCACAUGCUGUUAGUUUGAAUUGUUCUUAAUGUUUAAAGAGUGACCCAAGU